AUGGUUUUAAAGCAUGUUCGGAGUCAUUCCUGCUGCCUGCCGUCCAGGGGUCAGUCACUGGACUUCCUGAAUCUUGUUGGUGUCUGCUUGAAGCAAAGACCCCUCGAGCUGUCCUUGUCCAGGCUCCUUCUUUAUCCCUCCAAGCCCUCCCCGAGGACACAGUGCGAUGAUUCUGGAGGUGCCUCGGUCGCAGCACCAGAUGCUUCCCAGUUGACCCCAGGGGUGGAGGUGCUCCAGUCAGGGUGCCCACCCAUCAAUAAUUGUGACUGUAAAGGUCUGCUCCAGCCCAGCUCCUGGACUGGCCCCAGGUUCUGGCCCUAAGGGUUUCGAUCCAAGCAUCAUUCACUGUCGCACAUGUUUGGCAGCAGGACCCAGCUCACUGUCUUAGGUAAGCCCAAGGCUCCCCUUUUGGUCACUCUGUUCCCGCCCUCCUCUGAGGAGCUCCAAGCUAACAAGGCCACCCUAGUGUGUCCCAUGAGUGACUUCUACCUGGGCACCGUGACAGUGGCCUGGAAGGCAGACGGCGUCAUCAUCACCCAGGACAUGGAGACCACUAAGCCUUCCAAACAGAGCAAGAAACAGGCCAGCAGCUACCUGAGCCUGAUGCCUGAAGAGUGGAGAUCCUGCAGCAGCUGCAGCUGCUGGGCCAUGCAUAAAGGGAGCACCCUGGAGAAGACAAUGGCCCAUACAGAAUGUUCUUAAGUCCCCGGCCCUCACCCCACCCAUGGAGGCCUGGAGCUGCAGGAGCCCAGGGGAGGGGUCUCUCCUCCCAUCCCAAGUCAUCCAGCCCUUCUCCCUUCACCCAAUAAACCCUCAAUAAGUAUCCUCAUUGUCAAACAGAAAAAAAAAAAAGAAGAAGAAG